GGGGGAAAUGCCAUUUUUAUAUCUAUCCAUCCUAAUUUGUGAAGCUGAUCUUGCUCAUUAAAACCCCAGAGGAGAACAGAACCCAUUUAACAACUAGCAGGGGGUGAAGCAGCUGCUGCCAGGCUGUGGUGGAGAUCCAGACCCAAGGACAAGACAUUUAGUGACCAUCAUAACAUGGACCCUGCUCUGUCACAGUGACACAUCCAAGGUCCUGGAAUGUGGUGGGAUGAAGCUUCUCCCCUCCCAAGCUGCCGCAGGAAGAACCCAGGCCACCCAGCCAGCGAUGAGGAGGAGGGUGAUGAUGAAGGAGUAGAAGAGGAAGAGCCCGUUGCUGUCCAGGACAAGUCCCUUCCUUUUUUGGUGCAUCACUAAAGCCAUCAUGGCAAAGAAAGUGAAAAUGUAGAGGAUGAAGAUCUGCCCCUCUGUCACCAGGUACCUGCAAAGGUCAAACUCCUGUUAGUGAUGCCAGGAGGGAGCUCUGAGGGAGGGCAGCACUUCCAGCCUUAGGGAUGAGCAUCUCCCCUUUUCCCUGCUCCACAUCCCCCCAAAGCUGUGCUGCUCCUGCUGCCUGAUUUGUUUUCGUGACUCUCAUCAGUAAUUUAACACCUGGGCUUUGGGAAGAGAAGGGAUAAAGGAAUGUUCCCUUUAUCCCUGUUCCCUUUAUCCCUCAGUAUGGGAAGGGAAAGGUGCUGGGCUCUCUGUGUCUGGGAUGCUCAAAGGCAGAACCAAAGCUGGAUUCUGGCUCCCACCCGUGGCUGUUGUGCUCAUUUAUCCCCAAAUCCCCCUGGACUGUGCCUGGGGGUCAGCAGGAAAGGAGGAAUUGCACUCCUGCCUCUUCAAUCCCACACAAACCACAGAGAUCCACACUGACCCACUGAAGGGAAGUGCAGGAGGGUACCUGGGGACUGACCAAAUCAUCUGGGUGAUCUUGCCUGUCAAGAAUUAAUUUGCUGGAUAAAACCAGUCUCAGCAGGGCAAGAGGGAACAGGGGUGGGUGAGAAGCUGUUUGGCUGCCACCAGGGACAGCACUGGGCAAGAGGAGGCUCAUGAAAAUGGGAAAUAAAUAAGGCCUCUCUCAAAAAGGCCCUUUGGACCCCCCCAGGGCUGGUGGGGAAGCUGUGACUGAGCAUCCCCUGGGCUCUGGGUGGAGCUGUGAGAGCAUCUCCAGCCACCAGGGAGCUGGGACCACGUGGAUGCUCUGCAGGAACCUGGUGACCACCCCAAAAGCCUCAGGGAACUGUCUUAGGGCCCAGCAAACCUUGGAGGGGGGGAAGGCAGCAGUUCCUUCUGGAACUCUGAAACACCCCAAGCAUGGACAGAAUUCCUGCUGGGUGUCCCUGGAGUUGUCCCAACAUCCAGAGGCUGAAGUGGCUGCGAAUUUCAAUGAGACUUAAUUUGAUUUUCCAGCCCUGCAGAGCAGAAGCUGCAGCAAGUGCUGCCCUGAGGAACAGAGAACUCUGCCUGGGGCAUUCCCUGGGGUAUUCCCUCUUCAUCCCUGCCCAUCCCUCAUGGCCAGAAGCCCCUUACCAGUAGUAAAGGCUGCUGGGCCCCACCAGGAGCAGGGCAGCCACUGGCAUCCUGCUCUCCUCUGCCACAGGGGUGAAGCAGCCCGUGAAAUAUAUGAACAGGAUCAGGAAAAAAGGGAUGUACCUGCAAAGAGAAACAACUCCCAUCAGUGGGAUGACCCUGGGAAGUGUUUAAACCCCUCCCAAAUCCAAACCAAGCACGUGGGCAGGUCCUGGGCUGAGCCCGGGGGUUAAUUUGGUGAAAGAGCAGAAGUGGAAUCUCUUGCUCUGGGAUUCCUGCUGUGUCCACAGCCCUCACAGCUGGUGAGGGGCUGUUUGUGUCCUGAUUGUUCCCAGUGCUCCUGCAGGUAAUGAGAACUCCCAGUCUCAGGCAGGAAAAGCCCAAUUCUGCUGAUUAGGGCAAACCCUGGGCUCAAGUGCUCCUUGAACAAUUCCAGUUGUUCCAUUCCCAGGCUCUGAGAGCCUCGUGUCCUGUCCAAGCUGAGCUGCAGGAAAGCAGGAUGUGCACCAGGAUUUCAAUAACCCCACAGAGCCCUUUUUUUUUAUUUAGAAGAAUGGGAUUGUUUUGCUUCACAGCACUCGAGGAACAGCAAAUAAACCAGGAAAGCCUGAUGGGGAGAGAUUUCCCUCUGCUCUGAGCCAUCUCAGGAUUAUCUGGCAGCAGCCAAAGGGACAGACAGGCCUUCCUGGGGUCUCUGAGUUGGGGUGUUUGGGGGUCAAACCCCUGAGGAGCACAAAGGGGGGGUGGUCUGUCCACCUGGACAUCCUGGGGAAGGAUGAGCUGUUCCCUGCAGCUGCCCAACAACUGCCACAUCCCAGAAAUAUCCCCGAGACAGAGAUAAACCGGGAUUUUCCAAGGGUGAGCUCCCCUGUAAUCACCCUGGCCAUGAGAACAUUAUCCCCAGCCAGCUUUCAUCAGCUGUGCUUCAGGUUUUUUUCCACAUUAAGCUCUGAUCUGCCCAGAUCUGCCCUUCCUCGGGUGAUGUUCUGGGGCCUCCAGCCCGGCUGCAAAUCACUCACCACAUGGAAUGACCCAAAUAUUCAUCAUAGUAGUAGAGCAGCUCGAAGGAAUCAAUCUGCAACACAGCACAGAGGGAGAUUUAGAGGGGCAGGGGGAGCGGGGCCGUUCAGCAAGAACAGGCAGUUCACGUAUUUCCUGAGUGCUUCUGUAAAACUCAUCCUCUUUAGCAGUAACCAUGAACUAUAACUGUGAAUCCUCUUUACCAGUGUCUCUGGCUUGAGGUUCUUGAUGAUGGGGUUCUCCCUGACAGACAGGUGGUGCUGGUACCCGCUGAAGAUCAGGCGGUGGUUCACCGAGUCCCCGACCAGGUGGAUGCUGGCCCCCAUCACAAACAUGAUGAUGCUCACGUAGAUCAUGGACCUGGGCAGGGUCUUGGGGGACCUCUCGAUGAGCUGAAAGCACAGGGAGUGUUGGACAGCGAGGAGACACCAGCAGGGACACCCCAGCUCUGCCCUCUCUGACUUUUCCAUGCUCUGCUGCUCCCGGCACAGCACCUGGAGCAGUUUCUCCACCAGAAAUGAGCAAAGGUGAGCAACGAGAAGCAAAAAGGCAGAGGUUUUCUCGGGCUCUGGAGCAGAUCUCCAAGGCUGGCUGUGCCCUCCAGUGGCAGGGAGAGCCUCCAGCACACUCAGCUCAGCACUCACCUCCCUCCCCUGCCUGAGAGACUUCAGAACUCCCCACAGGAUCAUUUUCCAAGGGCUCCUGUUGAACUGUUUGUUUUUUUUCACCAGACUCACCUCCCUGUGCAUUUUCCUCUACAGAAUAAGCUGUGUUUAACCCCUUAUCUGGAAAUAUCUGAUUCCCUGCAAAACCGGUCAGGGCAACUUUUUGGGCAGCAGUUGCAGUGCUGAGCUCUCCCCGCCCCAUCCCGAGGCCUGGGGAGGCCACAUGGGGCUGACUCAGGAGUCUGGGGCGAGCUCCUGGCUGGGAACAGGGAGCAGGAGCUCGGGGAAGGAGCUCCACACUCAGCCUGCAGGGCAGGGAACACCCGGGAAGACAAAUCCCAGCUCGAGCGGUUCAGGCUCCGGAGGAGACACCGAGUGUGGGGCAGCAUCAUCCCAACCCCAGGAUCAGCCAGGCCACCUUCACCUCCCUCUCCCCGCUGCCAAAUCAGCUUUGCAGCCCUCCCCAAACAGGGAAAAGCUCCUUAUUUGUAUUUAAUUUUGAGGCUUAACUUUCCCUUUCCCUGUAACUGCUGCACGAACGUCACGGGAGUCACAGAGGACAAGGAGAGCACAAGGUCCAGGAGGGCUCUGGUGGGAUGGGAAAGGUCCAGGAGGGCUCUGGUGGGAUGGGAAAGGAUGGUGGGACACGUCCUUGGAGGGCACACAGCAAAGGAAACACACCUUGAAUAACAAGUGGAAUUUUUCUGUGCUGCCAGGGAAGUCCAAGACAGCAAAUUUUAACCUGCUGAGCCCCCAGCCUGCAGAAGUCAGCUCUGAGGGGUCACACUGAGCCUCAGAGCUUUCACAUCCAAAGAACAGACUCCCCAAUACCCCUUUUUGGCCAAACCAGCAUUUAAAAUUUCACAGACAGACUCAAGAGAGAGAGAGAGAAAAUAAUUUACAUCUUAGGACAUAAUUCAAUUUCUAGCUAAUGAAGGUUAAAAUAUAUUUAUAAUUGCUUUCUCGUAUCUUCUGGCUUAAUAUAAAAGGAUUUCUAAUGACCCCACAGUCUUUAACCUCUUAAAUGGUUUCUGUGAUCCAGUGGUUGGCAGCUGGAGCAAGAUAAAUUCCAGCUGAAGACACAACUCUAAUGUUGAAGAGCAAGUGUAAUUAAACUCUGAGCAAUUUAGAAAAUG